rnacentral:misc_RNA from 1 species
AAGUCGUAACAAGGUUUCCGUAGGUGAACCUGCGGAAGGAUCAUUAAAAGUGCCGCGAGGUUCGCGGAGUCGGGUGGGUUGUGCGCCGCUGAAGAGGUUGGUCGUGCUCCCAUUCCGUGCCUCCCCCGUCUCAAACCACACAGUGAAACGAACCUUUGCUUCGGCAGCCGGGUGCGACGAGCGUACCGACGCUCCCGCCCCGUCAGCCUGCCGGAAGCCCCCAACCAAACCACCUUGCAGAAACGUUCAUGUCUGAAAGCACAAACCAAAAAAACAAGUUAAAA